rnacentral:rRNA from 1 species
UAGUGGCAGACGGGUGAGUAAUGUAUAGGAAUCUACCUAGUAGUACGGAAUAAUUGUUGGAAACGACAACUAAUACCGUAUACGCCCUACGGGGGAAAAAUUUAUUGCUAUUAGAUGAGCCUAUAUUAGAUUAGCUAGUUGGUGGGGUAAUAGCCUACCAAGGUAAUGAUCUAUAGCUGAUCUGAGAGGAUGAUCAGCCACACUGGAACUGAGAUACGGUCCAGACUCCUACGGGAGGCAGCAGUGGGGAAUAUUGGACAAUGGGCGAAAGCCUGAUCCAGCCAUGCCGCAUGAGUGAAGAAGGCCUUUGGGUUGUAAAGCUCUUUUAGUGAGGAAGAUAAUGACGGUACUCACAGAAGAAGUCCUGGCUAACUCCGUGCCAGCAGCCGCGGUAAUACGGAGAGGGCUAGCGUUAUUCGGAAUUAUUGGGCGUAAAGGGCGCGUAGGCUGGUUAAUAAGUUAAAAGUGAAAUCCCGAGGCUUAACCUUGGAAUUGCUUUUAAAACUAUUAAUCUAGAGAUUGAAAGAGGAUAGAGGAAUUCCUGAUGUAGAGGUAAAAUUCGUAAAUAUUAGGAGGAACACCAGUGGCGAAGGCGUCUAUCUGGUUCAAAUCUGACGCUGAAGCGCGAAGGCGUGGGGAGCAAACAGGAUUAGAUACCCUGGUAGUCCACGCUGUAAACGAUGAAUGUUAAAUAUGGGGAGUUUUACUUUCUGUAUUACAGCUAACGCGUUAAACAUUCCGCCUGGGGACUACGGUCGCAAGAUUAAAACUCAAAGGAAUUGACGGGGACCCGCACAAGCGGUGGAGCAUGUGGUUUAAUUCGAUGCAACGCGAAAAACCUUACCACUUCUUG